GCGGAAGGCCGGACGGCCGCUUGCCAUUGGCGAGAGGAAAGUCCGGACUCACCGAAGCACCGGUGCCGGGUAACGCCCGGGCAGGGCAACCUGACGGAAAGCGCCACAGAAAUGAAACCGCCGUCGCACCGGAGGUGCGCACCGGAAGUCCGCUUCUGGUGAAACCGAAGGAGACUGUGGCGGUAAGGGUGAAACGGUGGGGUAAGAGCCCACCGGGGGGCUGGCAACAGCGCCCGCAUGGCAAGCCCCACCGGGAGCAAUGCCGAAUAGGGAUCGUGCGCGCCCUCGGGCGCAGGGCCGCUUCGGCCCCGGCGAUCCGGGUUGGCAGCUAGAGCCGCGUGGCAACGCGCGGUCCAGAGGAAUGGUCGUCUGAGGGCGGGGAAACCCGCCCAAGAACAGAAUCCGGCUUACAGGCCUUCCGCGCAU
rfam:Ponticoccus sp. TMTAT08 contig000014, whole genome shotgun sequence.